rnacentral:rRNA from 1 species
CUACGUGCCAGCAGCCGCGGUAAUACGGAGGGUGCGAGCGUUAAUCGGAAUAGCUGGGCGUAAAGGGCACGCAGGCGGUGACUUAAGUGAGGUGUGAAAGCCCCGGGCUUAACCUGGGAAUUGCAUUUCAUACUGGGUCGCUAGAGUACUUUAGGGAGGGGUAGAAUUCCACGUGUAGCGGUGAAAUGCGUAGAGAUGUGGAGGAAUACCGAAGGCGAAGGCAGCCCCUUGGGAAUGUACUGACGCUCAUGUGCGAAAGCGUGGGGAGCAAACAGGAUUAGAUACCCUGGUAGUCCACGCUGUAAACGAUGUCGAUUUGGGGGUUGAGCUUUAAGCUUGGCGCCCGUAGCUAACGUGAUAAAUCGACCGCCUGGGGAGUACGGCCGCAAGGUUAAAACUCAAAUGAAUUGACGGGGGCCCGCACAAGCGGUGGAGCAUGUGGUUUAAUUCGAUGCAACGCGAAGAACCUUACC